GUGGGGAAUAUUGGACAAUGGGCGCAAGCCUGAUCCAGCCAUGCCGCGUGAGUGAUGAAGGCCCUAGGGUUGUAAAGCUCUUUCACCGGAGAAGAUAAUGACGGUAUCCGGAGAAGAAGCCCCGGCUAACUUCGUGCCAGCAGCCGCGGUAAUACGAAGGGGGCUAGCGUUGUUCGGAUUUACUGGGCGUAAAGCGCACGUAGGCGGAUAUUUAAGUCAGGGGUGAAAUCCCGGGGCUCAACCCCGGAACUGCCUCUGAUACUGGGUAUCUUGAGUCCGGAAGAGGUGAGUGGAAUUCCGAGUGUAGAGGUGAAAUUCGUAGAUAUUCGGAGGAACACCAGUGGCGAAGGCGGCUCACUGGUCCGGUACUGACGCUGAGGUGCGAAAGCGUGGGGAGCAAACAGGAUUAGAAACCCCAGUAGUCC
rnacentral:rRNA from 1 species